CCUACGGGUGGCAGCAGUGAGGAAUAUUGGUCAAUGGGCGGGAGCCUGAACCAGCCAAGUCGCGUGAGGGAAGACGGUCCUACGGAUUGUAAACCUCUUUUGCCGGGGAGCAACGGGGUCCUUGCGAGGGCCCGAUGAGAGUACCCGGAGAAAAAGCAUCGGCUAACUCCGUGCCAGCAGCCGCGGUAAUACGGAGGAUGCGAGCGUUAUCCGGAUUUAUUGGGUUUAAAGGGUGCGUAGGCGGACGCUUAAGUCAGCGGUAAAAUUGCGGGGCUCAACCUCGUCGAGCCGUUGAAACUGGGUGCCUUGAGUGGGCGAGAAGUACGCGGAAUGCGUGGUGUAGCGGUGAAAUGCAUAGAUAUCACGCAGAACUCCGAUUGCGAAGGCAGCGUACCGGCGCCCAACUGACGCUGAAGCACGAAGGCGUGGGUAUCGAACAGGAUUAGAUACCCGUGUAGUC
rnacentral:rRNA from 1 species